rnacentral:rRNA from 1 species
ACUGCCUGAUGGAGGGGGAUAACUACUGGAAACGGUAGCUAAUACCGCAUAACGUCGCAAGACCAAAGAGGGGGACCUUCGGGCCUCUUGCCAUCAGAUGUGCCCAGAUGGGAUUAGCUAGUAGGUGGGGUAACGGCUCACCUAGGCGACGAUCCCUAGCUGGUCUGAGAGGAUGACCAGCCACACUGGAACUGAGACACGGUCCAGACUCCUACGGGAGGCAGCAGUGGGGAAUAUUGCACAAUGGGCGCAAGCCUGAUGCAGCCAUGCCGCGUGUAUGAAGAAGGCCUUCGGGUUGUAAAGUACUUUCAGCGGGGAGGAAGGCGUUGUGGUUAAUAACCACAGCGAUUGACGUUACCCGCAGAAGAAGCACCGGCUAACUCCGUGCCAGCAGCCGCGGUAAUACGGAGGGUGCAAGCGUUAAUCGGAAUUACUGGGCGUAAAGCGCACGCAGGCGGUCUGUCAAGUCGGAUGUGAAAUCCCCGGGCUCAACCUGGGAACUGCAUUCGAAACUGGCAGGCUAGAGUCUUGUAGAGGGGGGUAGAAUUCCAGGUGUAGCGGUGAAAUGCGUAGAGAUCUGGAGGAAUACCGGUGGCGAAGGCGGCCCCCUGGACAAAGACUGACGCUCAGGUGCGAAAGCGUGGGGAGCAAACAGGAUUAGAUACCCUGGUAGUCCACGCCGUAAACGAUGUCGACUUGGAGGUUGUGCCCUUGAGGCGUGGCUUCCGGAGCUAACGCGUUAAGUCGACCGCCUGGGGAGUACGGCCGCAAGGUUAAAACUCAAAUGAAUUGACGGGGGCCCGCACAAGCGGUGGAGCAUGUGGUUUAAUUCGAUGCAACGCGAAGAACCUUACCUACUCUUGACAUCCAGAGAACUUUCCAGAGAUGGAUUGGUGCCUUCGGGAACUCUGAGACAGGUGCUGCAUGGCUGUCGUCAGCUCGUGUUGUGAAAUGUUGGGUUAAGUCCCGCAACGAGCGCAACCCUUAUCCUUUGUUGCCAGCGGUUAGGCCGGGAACUCAAAGGAGACUGCCAGUGAUAAACUGGAGGAAGGUGGGGAUGACGUCAAGUCAUCAUGGCCCUUACGAGUAGGGCUACACACGUGCUACAAUGGCGCAUACAAAGAGAAGCGACCUCGCGAGAGCAAGCGGACCUCAUAAAGUGCGUCGUAGUCCGGAUUGGAGUCUGCAACUCGACUCCAUGAAGUCGGAAUCGCUAGUAAUCGUAGAUCAGAAUGCUACGGUGAAUACGUUCCCGGGCCUUGUACACACCGCCCGUCACACCAUGGGAGUGGGUUGCAAAAGAAGUAGGUAGCUUAACCUUCGGGAGGGCGCUUACCACUUUGUGAUUCAUGACUGGGGUGAAGUCGUAACAAGGUAACCGUAACCCAGUUUGCUCCCCAGCUUUCGCAAAAAAAGUAAGUAUUGUCAGGG